rfam:Myotis lucifugus cont2.23120, whole genome shotgun sequence.
GAUGGUUCUUGGGUGAUGCACCCCGAAAUCAGACUCCCUUCUCUCUGGUUCUGGGUACAUCCCCUGAGAACCACA